rnacentral:rRNA from 1 species
AAAGACCCGCAAGGGGCAAGUAGAGUGGCAAACGGGUGAGUAACACGUGGGUGACCUGCCUUCGAGUGGGGGAUAACGUCCCGAAAGGGACGCUAAUACCGCAUGACAUCCUGCCUUUGAACAGGCGGAGAUCAAAGCCGGGGAUCGCAAGACCUGGCGCUCAAAGAGGGGCCCGCGCCUGAUUAGCUAGUUGGUGGGGUAAUGGCUCACCAAGGCAACGAUCAGUAUCCGGCCUGAGAGGGCGGACGGACACACUGGGACUGAGACACGGCCCAGACUCCUACGGGAGGCAGCAGUGGGGAAUUGUUCGCAAUGGGCGCAAGCCUGACGACGCAACGCCGCGUGGAGGAUGAAGACCUUCGGGUCGUAAACUCCUUUCGAUCGAGACGAAUGGCCUUCGGGUGAAUAGCCCGGAGGAAUGACGGUACCGAGAGAAGAAGCCCCGGCUAACUCCGUGCCAGCAGCCGCGGUAAUACGAGGGGGGCAAGCGUUGUUCGGAAUUACUGGGCGUAAAGGGCUCGUAGGUGGCCAACUAAGUCAGACGUGAAAUCCCUCGGCUUAACCGGGGAACUGCGUCUGAUACUGGAUGGCUAGAGAUUGGGAGAGGGAUGCGGAAUUCCAGGUGUAGCGGUGAAAUGCGUAGAUAUCUGGAGGAACACCGGUGGCGAAGGCGGCAUCCUGGACCAACACUGACGCUGAGGAGCGAAAGCCAGGGGAGCAAACGGGAUUAGAUACCCCGGUAGUCCUGGCCCUAAACGAUGAAUGCUUGGUGUGGCGGGUAUCGAUCCCUGCCGUGCCGAAGCUAACGCA